UACCCAUUUCACCCAAUAGACUACACAAACUUGGAACUGGUGAGUCUGCAGCCAAUUGUUUGAUGUGUACAACAAAAAUGAUCAAAACCCUUGUGGGUUUUCUGCAGAAGUAAAUAAUGGAAAAUGGAUGCCCAAGAUAUCAGCUUUACUUAAUGGAUGAAGACACAUACACAAUAGGCGAUGGAAAGAAGAUUAAGAUCCCAUGCUAGCUUCCAUGAUGAUGGGUUCCUCUCCACCACAGCAGCCAGAACCACUGACUGUAUGCAGCUAAAGAAGCACUGAAGAGUAGUGAGGCGUAGUUUUGCUGGAUACUGCUUGAUAAUUGGACCCUACAGAAACAAGAAUAGCUAAAAAUCCAUUUUGUGUGUAACAGAUCGAGCAAGAAUUUCUGAAAUAAUGGAGAAGUUCUAGGAAUUAACCUGUAAAAUAAGCCAGAGAGACCAGGCUGUGUUGGCUGCAAGCAUCAUCAGGGAGCCUUUUAUCCACUCUCCUUUGGAGUUUUGCUCUACAGACGGGUCUGAAAUUCCCUUCUUGAUUUCUGGAUACCAGUCCAUGAACUUCAGAGCAGGACCCUUGACAAAAGCAAACACCAUAGCCCCAGAAACACCCACAACAGAACCAAGCACCUUGGCUAUUCCAUGGAAAUGUUUCAUGGGAAUGCUCUCCAUCCUGAAAUAUUCAGAGCCCUCUUUUAUUUGAAAUGAAGGUAAUAGCAAAUCAAUCCUUACACCGAUAUUUACUUGGAAAGCUUCUCAUUUACCCUAUGAAAACAGCCAUGAUAAAGGUAAUGGCAGGGAUUGUGUUGGUGGUGGCCGCAGCAAAUGUUGCAGAGGUGAAACCAAUUGCCACAUAAUAGAGAUUUAAACUCAGGGUCAGCCUGCAGAUUUUUCAUAUAUAUGAGGGAUUGUUAGUAUGGAUUUUAUAUUUAGAGAUUAAGUUUGUUAAUUUUUUUAUUAUUUGUUCACUUAUCUAUGAAAUGGUUUAUAUGAAAUUGAGUCAUGGAAA